GCAAUACCAUAGUGGCGCACGGGUGCGUAACACGUAACUAACCUACCUAUAACUGGGGGAUAGCCCGCCGAAAGGCGGAUUAAUACCGCAUAAGCUUGUGAAGUGGUAUCACUUUAUUAGUAAAGAUUUAUUGGUUAUAGAUGGGGUUGCGGGUCAUUAGCUAGUUGGUAAGGUAACGGCUUACCAAGGCGACGAUGACUAGGGGAGCUGAGAGGCUGGUCCCCCACACGGGCACUGAGAUACGGGCCCGACUCCUACGGGAGGCAGCAGUAGGGAAUAUUGGGCAAUGGGCGAGAGCCUGACCCAGCCAUGCCGCGUGCAGGAAGAAGGCUUUCUGAGUCGUAAACUGCUUUUGACAGGGAAGAAUAAGGUGUACGUGUACACUGAUGACGGUACCUGCAGAAUAAGCACCGGCUAACUCCGUGCCAGCAGCCGCG
rnacentral:rRNA from 1 species